rnacentral:rRNA from 1 species
AGAAGUCCCGCAAGGGAUUGUAAAGUGGCGCACGGGUGCGUAACACGUGGACAAUCUGCCCUAAGGCUUGGGAUAACCUUUCGAAAGAAGGGCUAAUACCGGAGAGACCACAGGAGCAACAGCUCUAGGGGUUAAAGAUGGGGACCGCAAGGCCUAUCACCUAAGGAUGAGUCCGCGCAUUAUCAGCUAGUUGGUAGGGUAACGGCCUACCAAGGCUAUGACGAUUAGCUGGUCUGAGAGGAUGAUCAGCCACACUGGAACUGAGACACGGUCCAGACUCCUACGGGAGGCAGCAGUGGGGAAUCUUGCACAAUGGGCGAAAGCCUGAUGCAGCAAUGCCGCGUGAGUGAUGAAGGCCUUCGGGUUGUAAAUCUCUGUCGGUUGGGACAAACGGCUUCAUAACUAACAGUUAUGGAGAGUGAUGGUACCAGCAAAGGAAGGGGCGGCUAACUCUGUGCCAGCAGCCGCGGUAAUACAGAGGCCCCGAGCGUUGUUCGGAAUUACUGGGCGUAAAGGGAAUGUAGGUGGUGAUGUAAGUCAGAUGUGAAAUCCCCGGGCUUAACCCGGGAACUGCAUUUGAUACUGCUUCACUAGAGUGCGGAAGAGGAGAGCGGAAUUCCCAGUGUAGGAGUGAAAUCCGUAGAUAUUGGGAGGAAUACCGAUGGCGAAGGCAGCUCUCUGGUCCGUAACUGACACUGAGAUUCGAAAGCGUGGGUAGCAAACAGGAUUAGAUACCCUGGUAGUCCACGCCGUAAACGAUGGGUGUUUGUUGUUGGAAUGUUAACCUUUUCAGUAACGAAGCUAACGCGUUAAACACCCCGCCUGGGGAGUACGGUCGCAAGAUUAAAACUCAAAGAAAUUGACGGGGACCCGCACAAGCAGUGGAGCAUGUGGUUCAAUUCGACGCAACGCGAAGAACCUUAUCCUGGUCUUGACAUCCY